AUUGAACGCUGGCGGCACGCCUUACACAUGCAAGUCGAACGGUAACAGGUCUUCGGAUGCUGACGAGUGGCGAACGGGUGAGUAAUACAUCGGAACGUGUCCGAGAGUGGGGGAUAACGAGGCGAAAGCUUUGCUAAUACCGCAUACGAUCUCAGGAUGAAAGCAGGGGACCGCAAGGCCUUGCGCUCACGGAGCGGCCGAUGGCAGAUUAGGUAGUUGGUGGGAUAAAAGCUUACCAAGCCGACGAUCUGUAGCUGGUCUGAGAGGACGACCAGCCACACUGGGACUGAGACACGGCCCAGACUCCUACGGGAGGCAGCAGUGGGGAAUUUUGGACAAUGGGCGCAAGCCUGAUCCAGCCAUGCCGCGUGCAGGAUGAAGGCCUUCGGGUUGUUAACUGCUUUUGUACGGAACGAAAAGACUCUGGUUAAUACCUGGGGUCCAUGACGGUACCGUAAGAAUAAGCACCGGCUAACUACGUGCCAGCCGCCGCCGUAAUAC
rnacentral:rRNA from 1 species